CAGUCUUCAGCUGCAACUGGAAUAGGAAAACCAGCUCUUGGUUCACUCCAGCAAAAUGCAUCUUCCAGGUGAAGGGCAGCUGGGAUGACCAUUAGCUGCAGAAAAAAGGCCCCAGGGAUUCCCUGGAUGCAUAAGGAACUUAAGCUGAAGUGUCAUUAUAUUUAAGAAAAAGAGUUAUCUGGUGUUUAAAAUGAACUCAAGUGCUUGUGAAAACCACAGAGCCUCGUCAGGAGCAAGCACACUGGAGGUGCAAACCUGCCCUAUGGAGGCCCUGCAACGCAAUGCACAUUCAGUGGCCCUGAUGGACAGGAAUGUCUUUGCAAACAUCAGUCUAAGAAGCGAUACCAGCAAGUGCCAAGAAAAAGAGGAGCCAUUCUCAAGCCAGGCACGAUCUUGUGUUAUUUUGCAAAGGACACAGAAAAAAUGCAGAAAAAAUGCGAACAUUCAAAACUGCAGGAAUAAACUCCUUGUUGUCACAGCUCACAUUUGGAGAGGGAGGCAAAGAUCCAGAUUCCACCAUGCCAGCACGGCCACAGUGCUGGACGCUUAUCAAAGUGGUUGCCUUCGGGGCUCUCAGGAGAUCAGGCUUCUCUCCAGGUCUUCGGAUGAAGCACCAAGGCCAUGAGAACAGCCAUGCUUCAGCAUCAACC